GGCAGUUCUCGGGUAAUGCACCCUGGAAUCGGGCUCCCUCUUCUAUGGUUCUGGGUGUGUCACCUGAGAAUCGCU
rfam:Myotis davidii contig226738, whole genome shotgun sequence.